UGCAACGAUACCUGAAGCGGGAGUUUACUAUUCACCUGAGGAUUCAUGAACGGUUUUUCAUCGACUUAUCUUUGAUUUAUUUGAAGGAAAAGACCCUGAUGGAUAAAAGAUGGAUAUUUUUUCCUGGAGAAGCUAAAACAAUGUAACUUUGAGGUUCUGAUACCAGCUUUUACAAAGUUAUUUACAGAGUUCACCAGACUUCUCUGUGUUAUUUCCUGACCAUGCCGAAAAGCUAUUUGAACCUUGGGCAUUGCAUUUUCCAGACAGAAUCCUGCACUUCCCAGCCAAGAACCAGGAGCAUCAACAAAUCACCUCCAGAACCCCAUGAUGAUAUUCCAACUCCUGUCUACAAAAGUGGGAAGAAAAUCUUAAGUCUAUGUUGGGACCAACAUGGUUGCAUUCUUCUGAGAGGCUGAUGUGACAAAACCAUUCCCAUUUGUCCUUGGAUUGGAAGAUGGCGAUCUCUGCCAUCAAGCCUUCGUUGUUUUUGACAGACAGUCACUCCAGCAAUACACCCUCCUUGGUGAUGUUGACAUGUUUUAAACUUUUUUAUGUUUUGGACAUUAAUUUUACUAAGCAGUGCACAUCAGUGUGGGUGUUUUUGAAGACUGUUGUUUACAAACUCCCAAGAACGGAAUCCCUUUCUAUAAGAAGUCUGUGUAGUUAUUUGUCAUGCUAAGGUGAUAACUCAUGUUGAUCAUAUAUUCACUGUUUGUGCAACUUUGUGUUGAUCUUAUGUGUUACAUUAACCAUUUCUUAUUACACGGUUCUCUAAAAUGCUAGUUUCUGAUUGGCCAGUCGUGACAUUCUACUACUGCUCAAAACUAAAAACUCCAAUGCUGCAAAUCAUUUUGACAGGUACAGUUUUAUAUUACACAAAAAUUAAAUAUCAAUGUCUAUUAAUUACACAUCCGACAUUAAAUUUACAAAUGAUUAAAUGUGUUCGUGACAUUUGUCCUGAAGAAACUGUUGGGGCUUUUUUCUGUGAUGACAUGCUGCCAAUACAUUAUCCAUUACUUG